GAUGAACGCUGGCGGCGUACUUAACACAUGCAAGUCGAACGAGAAGUGAAGACGGAACCCUUCGGGCGGAAGGCUUUAUUUCGAGUGGCGGACGGGUGAGUAACGCGUGGGUAACCUGCCUCAUACAGGGGGAUAACAGUUGGAAACGACUGUUAAUACCGCAUAAGACCACAGCACCGCAUGGUGCGGGGGUAAAAACUCCGGUGGUAUGAGAUGGACCCGCGUUCGAUUAGCCAGUUGGCGGGGUAACGGCCCACCAAAGCGACGAUCGAUAGCCGAUCUGAGAGGAUGACCGGCCACAUUGGGACUGAGACACGGCCCAAACUCCUACGGGAGGCAGCAGUGGGGAAUAUUGCACAAUGGGGGAAACCCUGAUGCAGCGACGCCGCGUGAGUGAAGAAGUAUUUCGGUAUGUAAAGCUCUAUCAGCAGGGAAGAAAAUGACGGUACCUGAGUAAGAAGCCCCGGCUAACUACGUG
rnacentral:rRNA from 1 species